CGACGCCUGCCCAGUGAACAAUUUAACGGCCGCGGUACCCUAACCGUGCAAAGGUAGCGUAAUCACUUGCCUAUUAAUUGUAGGCCUGUAUGAAAGGCAAAACGAGGGCCUAACUGUCUCUUAUAGUAAAUCAAUUAAACUGAUCUCCCAGUCCAAAAGCUGGAAUGCCAACAUAAGACCAGAAGACCCUGUGAAGCUUAAACUAAACUAUUAAACCCUAUAAUAGCUCCUUUCGGUUGGGGCGACCUUGGAAAAAAAAAGAACUUCCAAACACAAUGAGCCUAAUCUCACCAUCCUAGGCCAACAAGCCUAACAACGACCCAGCACAGCUGAUAAUUGAACCAAGUUACUCCAGGGAUAACAGCGCUAUCUUCUUCAAGAGCCCAUAUCAAAAAGAAGGUUUACGACCUCGAUGUUGGAUCAGGACAUCCUAAUGGUGCAGACGCUAUUAAGGGUUCGUUUGUUCAACGAUUAACAGUCCCACGUGAUCUGAG
rnacentral:rRNA from 1 species